CUACCUCCCCAGCUGCAAUCUGUAACUAAGAUCAGACCACUGUUGGACAAGGACGGUCUCUAAAAGGCUGGGCAGUGGGACCGCCUGGGUGGCUCAGGUCACGAUCUCACGGUCCGUGAGUUCGAGCCCCGCAUCGGGC